CUGUCACAGUCACAGUGUAUCUGCAAUUGCGGGUCGCAGCCAUUUGUUUAUUUUAUGUGCAGGAAAAACAAAAGUAAUAAUGGGUGUUUUAUUGAAUGAAAUAAUGUAUGGAUUACUACAGAUGCAGUUACAACCAAAACGUAAGAGGAGAUCGCAGUGUGGAAGUUGGAGAGCGUGGGCGAAUCGUCGCGUUGAGCAGCUGCACACAUCCAGCUUGCAGGGCGGCCGGACUUCGACUGGCUAGUGGCUACAGAGACUGGAGUGAAGCCUGUUGCUAUUCGUAGCCAACCGCUAGGGGGAGGAGUCGGGGAAGCUUCGAGACAAGUUACAGGUCUCUCGGAGCUGUUUGCGCUAUGUGACUGUGAGAAAUAUUUCUAGACAUGAACCCCUCAUAUAAGAUCUUU